rnacentral:lncRNA from 1 species
GUGAUAGAAAGGGAAGUUUUAAGAUAUCCCAGACCCUAUAGCCACUGGUGAAAAACAAUCCUGGAUGGAUGGUAAAUUGACCAGGGGAAGAGUUAGGUUUGACCAAGGUUUGGAUUAAACAACUAUAUUUUUGAGAGAUGGCUUUUCAGGAAGAUCAGGGAAUCCUGAGACUGGAUAGUUAGUGGAGGGUGGGACUCAUUCCACAGAAAUCGAAAGUUGUGAUCAUGGAGUUUGCAAUUGGGAAGUAAGAGACCCCAGAUUUGGAGCUGUGUCCUCCUGGGAUGAUGUUAGAUGUUGGCUCUCUAUGCUGAAUAGUGAAGCUGUGGAUAGGCGGUUGCUGGGUUGAGGGACUGUUGAUUUCAUGUUCGAAAAUAUCUUCAGGUGGUCCAUGUAGGCCUGGUGUCUGCUGCCUCCAUCUUUGAAGGAACAUGGAGGAGCCCUUUCUCUGUAGGAGCCCUAAGUCUGGGUUUUAUCUUAAAAGAACACACCAGUCAUUCUGGGUCUCCCCUUAUUGCCAUUGCCAGGGGAGGGUCGUCUAGUCCUUAAGCAUAAACACUGGCUGUCUUCCUA